UACGUAGGGUGCGAGCGUUAAUCGGAAUUACUGGGCGUAAAGCGUGCGCAGGCGGUUCGUUGUGUCUGUGGUGAAAGCCCCGGGCUUAACCUGGGAAUGGCCAUGGAAACUGGCGAGCUGGAGUGUGGCAGAGGGGGGUGGAAUUCCGCGUGUAGCAGUGAAAUGCGUAGAUAUGCGGAGGAACACCAAUGGCGAAGGCAAUCUCCUGGACCUGCACUGACGCUCAUGCACGAAAGCGUGGGGAGCAAACAGG
rnacentral:rRNA from 1 species